CUGACAAAAGGAAAACACAAAAACCCUAAUUCUAAUUCUCUAAACGCCGUACAUCCCAAACAAAGCAAGAGACAGAUUGUGAUCGUUCUCUUCCGUACUAGCAUACGUGGGAUUCAAUUCGUGCUUGUGGACUGAGUAGAGGAGCAACAAGUGGGGCUCUAAGAUCUUCGAAGCUUGCAUACGAACGGGAGAACACGCUUCAAAGGUGAUUAUUCUUUCGACUUAAUCUGAUCUAUACUAUUGUUAUGCAUGAGAUCCUGUGAUAGAUGUUAGGAAAUUGUUUCCUGAAAUUCCGCUUUAUGCAUCUAUAUGUUCCUACACAUAUCGUCAAAGUAUGAGUGUUGCUGCACUUUCAAAAUAGGAUACUAUGUCUUUCGUGUCUUCAAAUUGAAGGAUCACAGCAUGAGAGACAUUCAAGGGUCACCUAGCUUUAAGCGAUUAUUCUCUCCGCCCAAUGAUUGUUUCUGCUCAACCCUGUCUUUCCCCUAAAACCGGAUUCAAAUAUUGUGUUCUCUUUGGCAGAAUAGCUAGUGUUGCUGAUUAAUUGUGCUCCCUGGAGGAAAAGCUCAUGAUUCUACAAUCAAUUUGGAUCGUAUAGGAAAUUAGUUGUAAUCUUCUGUAGCAGUAUAAUCUAGUCAGUAUAGAUUGAACAAUGGAGAAAAACUUAAUCUUGUAAUUAUUGUAAAGCAAGUUUGUGUAAGCACUAGGAAUAAGCACAAUAGUGAGACUUAAGAGCAUGUUUUGUUGAUUCGCCUAAAGAGUUGAUGCUUGUUGUAAGAAAUUUGAAUUUUAUAUAUAAUCCAUUCCUUUCAGGUCUA